rnacentral:lncRNA from 1 species
AAUUUAUAGACGACAUAAUGGAUAAAAUUUAAAGUAAAAACAUAAUGGAUAAAUCAUUCUGAAAAUAGAAAAUGAAAUGCUUAGUUGGGAAAAAGCGUGGAGAGGAAUCAUAUCUGCCCACAACUCAUAACUACUCAUUUGUUUCAUAUAUAUACAAUGGCUCCUUAUAAAGAUAUCGAUGGUGAAAGCCGAAACACCGCUGGAUAUAGGUGGUCUUCUAAAGAAUUACUUCACACAUUAAGACAGAUAGGGAGCGAAAAUGAAUAAGAACACCGUGUGCACAACCACGUUUGAGUUCAGAAACAAGCUGCUCGUUGAACCCUUUUCCUAUUCCUUUGGUCUAGACGCUGAAGUCGCUUCAGAAUGGUUUUCCCCAACAAUCGGUUGCGCUUUUGUUUCCUCUUUCUUCUUUGCUUCGACCUCUUUGAG